UCAGCUGUUGAGCGCUGGUCAAAGAUCUGCAGCAGAAACACAACAGACACACGUGUGUAUCUUCACUGCUGCAGAGGAGAGAGAGAGAGAGCAAUGCCUGAACACAAACACUACAGCAACAUCACUACAAACAAACCCACUGAAACAAAGUCACUUACAGGAUCAGUGAAGUGUUGAGGACUGAAAGCCUGUUGAACAGAAGCAGAGACGUGUGGCCAAACACUGACUGUAAUGAUGAUGAUCAUCUGCUGCUGCACAGGCUGUAAAGUAUAACCCCUGCUGGACACGGCUCCGGAAGCUCCAGGGGGAGACCGAACUGGUAUCCCCCCUUCUUCAGGCGCGCCUCACACUCACUCACCAUUCACUCAUAUCGCAGAGUUCUGGCUGGGAUCAUACCAGCAACCCCUGAAGCCGUGGGGCAGCGCUCUUACCACAGAGCCACAGAUCUCCUGUCUGAACACCUGCUGGAACUGAUGUUUGACUGCAGACCUGUGUGUGAGCUGUUUCAAUAAAACAAGAUACAAAUCA